rnacentral:rRNA from 1 species
CGGUAAUACGAAGGGGGCUAGCGUUGCUCGGAAUUACUGGGCGUAAAGGGAGCGUAGGCGGACAUUUAAGUCAGGGGUGAAAUCCCGGGGCUCAACCUCGGAAUUGCCUUUGAUACUGGGUGUCUUGAGUAUGAGAGAGGUGUGUGGAACUCCGAGUGUAGAGGUGAAAUUCGUAGAUAUUCGGAAGAACACCAGUGGCGAAGGCGACACACUGGCUCAUUACUGACGCUGAGGCUCGAAAGCGUGGGGAGCAAACAGAAUUAGAUACCCUGGUAGUCCACGCCGUAAACGAUGAUUGCUAGUUGUCGGGAUGCAUGCAUUUCGGUGACGCAGCUAACGCAUUAAGCAAUCCGCCUGGGGAGUACGGUCGCAAGAUUAAAACUCAAAGGAAUUGACGGGGGCCCGCACAAGCGGUGGGGCAUGUGGUUUAAUUCGAAGCAACGCGCAGAACCUUACCACCUUUUGACAUGCCUGGACCGCCAGAGAGAUCUGGCUUUCCCUUCGGGGACUAGGACACAGGUGCUGCAUGGCUGUCGUCAGCUCGUGUUGUGAAAUGCUGGGUUAAGUCCCGCAACGAGCGCAACCCUUAUCCUUUGUUGCCAGCGGUUCGGCCGGG